rnacentral:rRNA from 1 species
UUAAGCGACUAAGCGUACACGGUGGAUGCCCUGGCAGUCAGAGGCGAUGAAGGACGUGCUAAUCUGCGAAAAGCGUCGGUAAGGUGAUAUGAACCGUUAUANCCGGCGAUGUCCGAAUGGGGAAACCCAGUGCAAUUCGUUGCACUAUCGUUAACUGAAUACAUAGGUUAACGAGGCGAACCGGGGGAACUGAAACAUCUAAGUACCCCGAGGAAAAGAAAUCAACCGAGAUUCCCCCAGUAGCGGCGAGCGAACGGGGAGCAGCCCAGAGUCUGAAUCAGCUUGUGUGUUAGUGGAACGGUCUGGAAAGUCCGACGGUACAGGGUGAUAGUCCCGUACACCAAAAUGCACAGGCUGUGAACUCGAAGAGUAGGGCGGGACACGUGGUAUCCUGUCUGAAUAUGGGGGGACCAUCCUCCAAGGCUAAAUACUCCUGACUGACCGAUAGUGAACCAGUACCGUGAGGGAAAGGCGAAAAGAACCCCGGCGAGGGGAGUGAAAAAGAACCUGAAACCGUGUACGUACAAGCAGUGGGAGCACCUUCGGGUGUGACUGCGUACCUUUUGUAUAAUGGGUCAGCGACUUAUAUUCUGUAGCAAGGUUAACCGUAUAGGGGAGCCGCAGGGAAACCGAGUCUUAACUGGGCGUUAAGUUGCAGGGUAUAGACCCGAAACCCGGUGAUCUAGCCAUGGGCAGGUUGAAGGUUGGGUAACACUAACUGGAGGACCGAACCGACUAAUGUUGAAAAAUUAGCGGAUGACUUGUGGCUGGGGGUGAAAGGCCAAUCAAACCGGGAGAUAGCUGGUUCUCCCCGAAAGCUAUUUAGGUAGCGCCUCGUGAAUUCAUCUUCGGGGGUAGAGCACUGUUUCGGCUAGGGGGUCAUCCCGACUUACCAACCCGAUGCAAACUACGAAUACCGAAGAAUGUUAUCACGGGAGACACACGGCGGGUGCUAACGUCCGUCGUGAAGAGGGAAACAACCCAGACCGCCAGCUAAGGUCCCAAAGUCAUGGUUAAGUGGGAAACGAUGUGGGAAGGCACAGACAGCCAGGAUGUUGGCUUAGAAGCAGCCAUCAUUUAAAGAAAGCGUAAUAGCUCACUGGUCGAGUCGGCCUGCGCGGAAGAUGUAACGGGGCUAAACCAUGCACCGAAGCUGCGGCAGCGACACUAUGUGUUGUUGGGUAGGGGAGCGUUCUGUAAGCCUGCGAAGGUGNUGCUGGAGGUAUCAGAAGUGCGAAUGCUGACAUAAGUAACGAUAAAGCGGGUGAAAAGCCCGCUCGCCGGAAGACCAAGGGUUCCUGUCCAACGUUAAUCGGGGCAGGGUGAGUCGACCCCUAAGGCGAGGCCGAAAGGCGUAGUCGAUGGGAAACAGGUUAAUAUUCCUGUACUUGGUGUUACUGCGAAGGGGGGACGGAGAAGGCUAUGUUAGCCGGGCGACGGUUGUCCCGGUUUAAGCAUGUAGGCUGGUUGUCCAGGCAAAUCCGGAUAAUCAAGGCUGAGGUGUGAUGACGAGGCACUACGGUGCUGAAGUAACAAAUGCCCUGCUUCCAGGAAAAGCCUCUAAGCAUCAGGUAACAUCAAAUCGUACCCCAAACCGACACAGGUGGUCAGGUAGAGAAUACCAAGGCGCUUGAGAGAACUCGGGUGAAGGAACUAGGCAAAAUGGUGCCGUAACUUCGGGAGAAGGCACGCUGGUGUGUAGGUGAAGUCCCUGCGGAUGGAGCUGAGACCAGUCGAAGAUACCAGCUGGCUGCAACUGUUUAUUAAAAACACAGCACUGUGCAAACACGAAAGUGGACGUAUACGGUGUGACGCCUGCCCGGUGCCGGAAGGUUAAUUGAUGGGGUUAUCCGUAAGGAGAAGCUCUUGAUCGAAGCCCCGGUAAACGGCGGCCGUAACUAUAACGGUCCUAAGGUAGCGAAAUUCCUUGUCGGGUAAGUUCCGACCUGCACGAAUGGCGUAAUGAUGGCCAGGCUGUCUCCACCCGAGACUCAGUGAAAUUGAACUCGCUGUGAAGAUGCAGUGUACCCGCGGCAAGACGGAAAGACCCCGUGAACCUUUACUAUAGCUUGACACUGAACAUUGAGCCUUGAUGUGUAGGAUAGGUGGGAGGCUUUGAAGCGUGGACGCCAGUCUGCGUGGAGCCAACCUUGAAAUACCACCCUUUAAUGUUUGAUGUUCUAACGUUGGCCCCUUACCGGGGUUGCGGACAGUGUCUGGUGGGUAGUUUGACUGGGGCGGUCUCCUCCCAAAGCGUAACGGAGGAGCACGAAGGUUAGCUAAUCCUGGUCGGACAUCAGGAGGUUAGUGCAAUGGCAUAAGCUAGCUUGACUGCGAGCGUGACGGCGCGAGCAGGUGCGAAAGCAGGUCAUAGUGAUCCGGUGGUUCUGAAUGGAAGGGCCAUCGCUCAACGGAUAAAAGGUACUCCGGGGAUAACAGGCUGAUACCGCCCAAGAGUUCAUAUCGACGGCGGUGUUUGGCACCUCGAUGUCGGCUCAUCACAUCCUGGGGCUGAAGUAGGUCCCAAGGGUAUGGCUGUUCGCCAUUUAAAGUGGUACGCGAGCUGGGUUUAGAACGUCGUGAGACAGUUCGGUCCCUAUCUGCCGUGGGCGCUGGAGAAUUGAGGGGGGCUGCUCCUAGUACGAGAGGACCGGAGUGGACGCAUCACUGGUGUUCGGGUUGUCAUGCCAAUGGCACUGCCCGGUAGCUAAAUGCGGAAGAGAUAAGUGCUGAAAGCAUCUAAGCACGAAACUUGCCCCGAGAUGAGUUCUCCCUGAGACUUUAAGUCUCCUGAAGGAACGUUNGACGUUGAUAGGCCGGGUGUGUAAGCGCAGCGAUGCGUUGAGCUAACCGGUACUAAUGAACCGUGAGGCUUAACCUU